ACAGCAGUAGCCACGGUAAUACGUAGGUGGCAAGCGUUGUCCGGAAUUAUUGGGCGUAAAGGGCUCGCAGGCGGUUUCUUAAGUCCGAUGUGAAAGCCCCCGGCUCAACCGGGGAGGGUCAUUGGAAACUGGGAAACUUGAGUGCAGAAGAGGAGAGUGGAAUUCCACGUGUAGCGGUGAAAUGCGUAGAGAUGUGGAGGAACACCAGUGGCGAAGGCGACUCUCUGGUCUGUAACUGACGCUGAGGAGCGAAAGCGUGGGGAGCGAACAGGAUUAGAUACCCCGGUAGUCCCUGUCUCUUAUAC
rnacentral:rRNA from 1 species